rnacentral:rRNA from 1 species
CCUACGGGAGGCUGCAGUGGGGAAUAUUGGACAAUGCGGGCAACCCUGAUCCAGCCAUGCCGCGUGUGUGAAGAAGGCCCUCGGGUUGUAAAGCACUUUCAGUGAGGAAGAACGCCUGGUGGUUAAUACCCAUCAGGAAAGACAUCACUCACAGAAGAAGCACCGGCUAACUCCGUGCCAGCAGCCGCGGUAAUACGGAGGGUGCGAGCGUUAAUCGGAAUUACUGGGCGUAAAGCGCGCGUAGGUGGCUUGAUAAGCCGGUUGUGAAAGCCCCGGGCUCAACCUGGGAACGGCAUCCGGAACUGUCAAGCUAGAGUGCAGGAGAGGAAGGUAGAAUUCCCGGUGUAGCGGUGAAAUGCGUAGAGAUCGGGAGGAAUACCAGUGGCGAAGGCGGCCUUCUGGACUGACACUGACACUGAGGUGCGAAAGCGUGGGUAGCAAACAGGAUUAGAUACCCUUGUAGUC